UAACUUAUCCUGUACUUCUCCAGAUUUAUAAUCUUAAGAAUAUUAUUUCUCUUGCUCGCAUUUUUCCUCGACUAAUAAAGACAAAUCAAGUUGAGCUGGCGUGUGUAGAGUGAAAGCUUUGCGGUAGAAACAUGGGAGAUGAACAUACACACACACAAACUAUAUAUAUACACAUUUAAAAGUCUUUGCAAGAAUAUCAAAGAAUGGAGUUAACUAACUGCGUUUAUUGCCUAAAGGCGCCUCCAGGAGAAACUUAGUAAUGCGGGACAAGAUUAUUUUCGAAUCUAAGGAGAAAUUGUACCCUCUCAAAAUACAAGGAUUCCGAGUUUGUUUUCCCCGGCCACUCACUGAGGAACCUGAAUAAAAAUAAUCACGGAUCCCUUUUUUGCUUGAAGUAAAGUCUCUCGCAGUUUACUGAAAUUAUCACCUGUUUUAACUGAGUUUCUUUCUGGGUACACGUCUGCAUAUGAAACGCCCCUUAUAAUCUGUACCCAAGCAUUCAACGGGCAUCUUUUCUGAAUGUCUGACAAUACAGUGAAGGAUAGUAUGAUACCAGUUGCCGAAAAGAAGAGACAGUAAGAAGAGAUUUAGUUGAGGUACAUUAUUGUGUCUGUGUUGUCGGAGACAAAUCAAACAGUCAACAUGGAAUAACCAACAUAUGUGAUCUACCAGUUACCAAGGAGUGACUAACGUAAGAAACCUACCAGUUAUCAAGGAGAAACUGAUGUGUGCAAUCUACCAGUUACAAACGGAGUAAAUAACGUUUGUAGUCUAUCAGUUACCAUCGAGUAAACAACGUUAAUAAUCUAUUAUUUACCAAGGAGUAACCAACGUACGUAAUCUACCAGUUACCAUGAAAUUAAAUAAUGUGUAUAAUCUGCCAGUUAACAUGGAGUCAGCAAUGUAUGUAAUCUACCAGUUACCAUGGAAUAACCAACGUGUGUAAUCUGCCAGUUAUCGUGGAAUAACCAAAGUUUGUUAUCUACCAGUUACAAUGGAAUAAUCAACGUGUGUAAAUCUACAUGCUUGUGCGACGUGCCUCACCUACUUAAUUUGUCACGUGACCUAUUUCCUCACUAAUGCCAUGUAACUUGUCUACCAGCUUGUGUCACAUGCAUUGUCUACAAAUCUACCAAAAACCGUGAUUUUUAAGUGUAAGCAUUGAACAACAACUACUACUACUACUACUUCCACCAUCACCACUAACACCACCUCCACCAUCACUACUAUUAUUCAUCCCUAAACCUUAUUUAGAGGCUAGAAGGUGAAAUGAGAUUGUAUGACGUGUUGUGAUGUGAAUGCCUUUCUCAAGUGAUUUCGAGGCGAAAUUUAGCUGAAUAAGAAUGGCUACAAUCAGGAAUCCUAAACAGGUUUCAAAGUCAGUUUGUAAAGAGAUAACGUCUACCAUACAAUACUCUCUACAGCAACACCAACAACAACUAAAGCUACUCUCAAACCGAACUGAACAGCAGAAAUAUAAACACAAGAUACCAAUGAGAGUGAAGACACCACAACAACAACAACAACAACAGCAGCAAC
rnacentral:lncRNA from 1 species